UUGUCUAGGUGUGACCAGAGCUGGUGGU
rnacentral:piRNA from 1 species